rfam:Homo sapiens chromosome 6, GRCh38 reference primary assembly.
GCCAGGUGUGGUGGCGCACACCUGUAAUCCCAGCUACAUGGGAGGCUGAGGCAGAAGAAUCGUUUGAACCCAGGAGGCUGAGAUUGCAGUGAGCCGAGAUCGCACCAUUGCACUCCAGCCUGGGCUACAGGGUGAGACUCUGUCUCAA